rnacentral:rRNA from 1 species
CUACGGGUGGCUGCAGUGGGGAAUAUUGCACAAUGGAGGAAACUCUGAUGCAGCAACGCCGCGUGGAGGAUGACACUUUUCGGAGCGUAAACUCCUUUUAUAUAGGAAGAUAAUGACGGUACUAUAUGAAUAAGCACCGGCUAACUCCGUGCCAGCAGCCGCGGUAAUACGGAGGGUGCAAGCGUCACUCGGAAUCACUGGGCGUAAAGAGCGUGUAGGCGGGUUAAUAAGUCAGAAGUGAAAUCCUAUGGCUCAACCAUAGAACUGCUUUUGAAACUGUUAACCUAGAAUAUGGGAGAGGUAGAUGGAAUUACUGGUGUAGGGGUAAAAUCCGUAGAGAUCAGAAGGAAUACCGAUAGCGAAGGCGAUCUACUGGAACAUUAUUGACGCUGAGACGCGAAAGCGUGGGGAGCAAACAGGAUUAGAUACCCUUGUAGUC